rnacentral:lncRNA from 1 species
GGUCAGGCCUUGGCGCGGUUGUGGAUCUAGCGUUGGUGACCGAUGGCGACGGCGGGGCUGCGGUGGGCUUGGGCCAGGGCGCGGCUGCGGCUGCGGAGGGAACGGGUGAGUGCGCGGUUGAGGGUGGCGAUGGCGCAGCUUCUGCAGGUGGUGGUGGCUCGGCUGCAGCGGGCUCAGGCCAGGGCGUGGCAGUGGCUGGAGACUCCGGCCAGGGCACUGCUGGGUCGGCCUCGGCAGCAGCUUCAGGCCAGGGCACGGCUCGGUUGGCACUCCAAAAGUGAUGAACCCUAGAAAGUGGUAUAUCUCGGCCUCCUUCCCUUAGCACUACUCCUGACAUAUUCAAUUUCUGGAAUAGUUCAUUCCCUGUACUGUAUUUAGAUAUCUAGCAUUUGAACAUAAUUUAUACUAGCAAUUCGUGGCUUUAAGGAAUUGAGUAAAACCUACCCUUGCAGGCUUCAAAUCCAAUCAUGCACAUUUGUUUUAAUUCGCCAUAGCAAAUGUUCAGUUAUAGCUUUAGUAUUGAAAACUAAGUUUCCCUGGAGCUUUGCUCAUAUGUUAGGACAAUUAUACUUUUUUGUUAGCUUUCAAUUCACAAGUUAUAGUAAUCUGCUAUUCUAGGCUUUGCUCCACUGGAAGGGAUUCAUGUGCCAAAUCCAAUCUCUACUGUUGCUGGUCCUCUUGUCGGCCAGCUUCGGCUGCCGCAUCGUGCCAACACCGAUGCAACAGCCAGCACAGUAGCCCAAAGGCCUAAGAAGCAUACUCGCGUCCUGAAUAACAGAGAGCUUCUUGUGUCACUUCAUCAAAAACAAGAUAGGCAUCAUGAUUGGAUGAAGCGCCAGAUGCAGAGUCUUUUGGUUGAUGUCAAUCACAUGCGCAACCUUGCUACCAAGAACUCAUUUGUUGCUCAUGAAGCCUGUCAGAGUGUGUCAUGGAUUUAACACGGUAGAUUUCCUAGUGAAAGGACUUAGGUGUGGAGCCAUCGCACUAGGUUAGCUUAAAGGGGUUAAAUAGGACAAAGGACACAAGGAGUUUACCCAGGUUCGGCCCCUCUAAACGAGUGUAACAUCCCAAAAUUCUAAAUUUUGGAAUGUUAUAUUAAAUAGAUGUUAUGAUUGAUUGUUUGAUUGCUUGAGUGAAAUUCGAAACUUUUUGAAAGUUAAAUGAGAGGGAAUAAAAGGACUUUCCCAAACCUUCAUUUUUGCAUUUAUGAUCUCCGUGAAUUCAAAUACUUUUCAUCACAAAAUCCUGGAGUGAAGAUGACAUGACUUCUUCCAUUUAUUUAAAUGAAAAGGGUUGUUGAAAAUAUUUGAAUUUCAUUUGAAAAUAUUUCAAAUCCAGAAACUUUAAGCAACUCAAUGAUUUUCAUGAGAAGAUAAAAUGACUUCUUCAAAACAUAUGAAAUAUGAGUUGGAAGUUUCAAAGAGUCAAAUUUAAAGCCCCUUUGAAAUUAUUUUCAAUUUGGAGUUAUUUCAGUUUUAUUCAAAUUAUUUUUCUUCAAAAAUAAAAUAUAUGGAAAAUAGGGUAAAAUGAUUCUCUACAGUAGAAAAUUGGAGAGAAAUAAAUUUGAAAUCAUUUUGGUAUUUUUAAAAAUGAUUUUUAUCAGGUUUAAUUGCAAAUAGUAACAAUCUUUGAAUUAUUUGAAUUUUUGUAGAUUUUAUUUGGCGUUAGAAAAAUGUUCAUGUUGAAGAAAAUCUUUUUCUGAAAAUUUUGAUAUAUAAUAUGCCUAUAUUAUAUUUUUAUUUCUUUUCGUUUUGCUUUACUUUGUUGUCUAAAAAAACAAAAACAAAAACAAAAUUUGUUCAGCACCGCCGACCGCGCCAGGCCAGCCGACCCAGCAAGCGGCCCAGCCGCACCCGCACCCGCACUCCCCUCGCCCGAACCGCCUCGCCUCUGGGCCGACAGGUGGGGCCCACCUGCCGGGUUUCUUCCCCCACGCCGAGCCGGAGUCCUGCUCCAGACCGACAUCCCCUUUCCCCAUUUGACCACACGAAGAUUCGACUGAUGAGACCACUCCAAGAAGUACAAGAUCUCGGACAACUAAGACCACUUCGGAAUGAAGAGGAUUUUACCAUGCAUUAUGAUAAUGGAAACUACGAUGGUUGAAAACUCCGAAGACUAGGAGAAUUUGAAGGCUCUGAAGAAUUUCCAGAUUAGUGUGACAUAGGAAGGCUACCCUUAUUGAACUUGGCAGACUAUAGAAGCUGUCAAUACCCGAGAUCAAGGUGUAUCAGAGAAAGACCGGAACAUGGAGCAUUAGAACUCAAAGUUUUUGUCAAGAAAACCCUAAGACAGGAGAUAUCAAUUAUGGAAUGAAAGCUCAUGGCAGUGACAUGGGCAUAGACUCGGCUAACCAUGGUGUUAUUGCCCGCUUAUGGUAUUGCCACCAUGCUGAGUUAAGCAUGCAUUUCUUUGGAAGGAUUGGAUGACAAGAAGGCUGAUGGAGCACCUAUCAGCAAGACGAAGUUUUAACCUUAGCUGGUGUAUCACCAGGAUCUGGAGAACUACAUCAGGAGUUCAAGAUGGACCUUCAGAAAGCUAUUUUUGACAAGGAAGCAUUUUGUGAAGAACUUACGACCCAAAAGCUGAAGUAGCCAAGUUGGAGAAGCAAAACCCCGAGAUACCGGAGAUUUGUCAGGAAUGAAGGACAGUAGGACCAUGGUUCAUGCCAAGGAUGUUGAAACCCAGAAGUUGGAACGCAACUCCAGAAUAUUAAAGGACGUCACGAGAGACUUCGCAUCAACAGAAAUGAUCUGGCAAAAGAAUUUGAGAAGGACAAGCACGAUCGGAAGAAGCCAAUGGAGACAUGAACAAUACUUGAAGAGUUUGGCGACUUUGAAGAUUUAUUGACCUUUAGAAGACCAAACCCCUGUUAUACCUACGUUAGCUGCGAUGUUUGUGAGCUGUCAUUUGUUUGUUGUUUUCCCGACUGCCACAAAAUAAAACCCGUCUUUUCAAAACUAUUGUUUGCAUUGUGUGUAUCCCCCUCUAUCUCUCUUAUCCCACCCCAAAGCCCACGGACCGAAUAGAGGAUGAAUGGAGAUGAGCUUAUAUCUUCUGGACCGAUGAGUUAAUUGGAGACGGACUGAUGGAUUCAGAACAUGGAAAAUCAUAUGGAGAAUAACACUAUAGCCGGAAAGGAUAUAACCCAUCAUGCUCUUCAGUGCUUUGAAAGAGGUGCUACUACUUGGUGGAGGAUGUACCAAACCAUCAAUGGAUGGCAAGGAGUAACCACUUGGAAGGAAUUUAAGUUGACUUUGCUAAAGUCUCGGUUUGUGUCCCAGAAAUUGAAGCCUUAUGGAAAUGGUAUGAAGAAACCCUGGGCAUGCAAGUUUUGUGGAGAAAUAGGACACAACCAUAAGGAACACAAGGAUGAAUGCCCUAACUGUGAAGGAAGUCAGCCAACUGAAGAAUUCCCAACUAGGCAGAUUACAUGUUUCUUGUGUGAAGGAACUACCCACUACCCUGCUCAGUGUCACAUUUACCCCAUGGUACAAAGAACCAUCCAGCAAAAGAAAAAAGCAAUGAAAGGAGCCCUCAUGGAAAUUUUAGAAGAACCCGUGAUGAAGGAAGAGGUGGAGUACACAUCCGAAGAAGACCCAAUUAAACCCUGCACCAAGUCGUGCUAUUCAUGUGGAGAAGAAGGACACAUCUUCCAGAAUUGUCUGAAUGGGGAUCUAGUAGAAUUCCCGACAGAGGAAGUAGAGUAUGACCCACAGGAAAUAGAAGCCCUGAUUGGAACGUAAAAGUAUAGGAAGAGAAGUAGAUUGGAUACCAGGAAGGACCUGAGCCAUAUCACCUCUUUCAGGUGCAAGGAGUCAGGGCACUACCUCAGCAGUUGCCCAAAAAGGAAGCCGAGGACCCAAGGAGGCUAUAUGAUCACAAGGAACCUCGAGACUUGUCAGAUGUAAUAUGUUUUCGUUGUAAUGAAGCAGGGCACUUUUCCAGGGAUUGUCCCAAAGAGAAGGAGGCUUGUGUUAAGUAGUGGAGUUUGCAACAAAAGGAAUAUAGUAGUAGUAGUAGUGGGAACAAUUCUUUUGAGGUGUUGAGUUGAGGCAUGUAAUGGAAGUGCAGGAGAUGGUAAUAAUUGGAGAAUCAGUAAAGUUAGUAUCGCGGGUACUGAUUUGGAUUUUAUGAGUUGUUACUCUAUGAAGGAAGAUUUUGACCAUUUUCGAGGAUAUGAGAAAUAUGGUCUAUGGGUGAAUUGGUGCAUUUCAAGGGUGGUAGUACCCUUUGAGGAAACUUGACCCUUGGAAAAGAUAAUAAUAUUCCACGGAGUGGAUUUCGGACAAAAUAAGUGUGAGUUUUGUCUCGAUAUGUGGGAUACCCCUAGAAUAUGAAGGGAUGAAGUAUUAUUGGAUAUAAAGGAGGUAGAAUGUUGGUAAUAUGGAGCAAAUUGUAACUCCAUCAUGAGUCUGAGUAAUCACGUCUUAGUUUGGUACCCAUAGAAGGAAGGGAGACAGUACAAUUGGUUGGAUUAAAGAAUGCUAGGAAGCCGGGUGUUGGAAUAGUGAUCAGUUGCCCAAUGAUGAGUUCAAGGUUUACAAGCGAUGAGAUGGGCCAUAACCCACAGGCCCCGGGACCUGCCAAGAAGCAAGCACAUUCUUGCUGAAGGAAAAACCCUCGAAGAAGUUACGAUUUUAUCGACAAACGAUCUUAUAGGAGUUUACGCAAAACCUGAGAGUUGUGAAGGAACGAUAGAUGUUUGUUUGACUUGCAGAAUCAAUGGAUUUAUCCGAACUUGGUUCGUUGACAAGAGAAAUUCUGCAAUAUUUGUGAGGAUGACCGAGUGUUAGAAUGCAAGAUUCGCUAAACCGUAUACAAGGUAAUGAUUUGGGUGCGGGAUGGAUUGAUCACCAUACCGACUUACUCUUAUUAUUCGCCUUGCUAUAUGGGAUGGUAAAUCUGAGCGACUUACCUAUAGUAGAGAGACGACGAUCAAAACCUUGUUUAAACCUUAGAAUGGUAUAAGUAUUUUCGCUUGUACAAGGCAGCUGUUGCCAAUCGUAGGAUAUACGGUGAGGUUCAACCCAGACCCAUUUCCUGCAGGAGAAACCAUAAAUUGUUGACCACCAUGAGAUAUCGAUAGUUGUUUAGUAUUGACGCCAGACCCGUCAGCUAUGAAGACCCAGUCUCAGAAUAACCUUACCAAGAUGAAAGGACAGAAAAAAUUAAGGAAAAGGUUAUGCCACUAUCGGAAGAGCCCAGAGAAGGAAUUUUUCUGAGAAUCUGAGAAAACCGGCCUUGUCAAGAAUAAGGAUGGAGUAUAUGAGUAUUGAUGGGACCGUAACCAUGCUUCUAAGGGUGGUAGCACCCCGGACCCCCUGUGACGAUCGAUAGAUUUUGAGAACACCCCCCAAAACCUAACCUAUUUCUUUCUAGCCUCUCCGAAUCUCGAGGACGAGAUUCAUUUUAAGGGUGGUAGGUUUGUAACAUCCCAAAAUUCUAAAUUUUGGAAUGUUAUAUUAAAUAGAUAGUUAUGAUUGAUUGUUUGAUUGCUUAAGUGAAAUUGAGUGAAAUUCGAAACUUUUUGAAAGUUAAAUGAGAGGGAAUAAAAGGACUUUCCUAAACUUUCAUUUUUGCAUUUAUGAUCUCUGUGAAUUCAAAUACUUUUCAUCACAAAACCCUCGAGUGAAGAUGACAUGACUUCUUCCAUUUAUUUAAAUGAAAAGGGUUGUUGAAAAUAUUUGAAUUUCAUUUGAAAAUAUUUGAAUUUCAUUUGAAAAUAUUUCAAAUCCAGAAACUUUAAGCAACUCAAUGAUUUUCAUGAGAGAAGAUAAAAUGACUUCUUCAAAACAUAUGAAAUAUGAGCUGGAAGUUUCAAAGAGUCAAAUUUAAAGCCCCUUUGAAAUUAUUUU